GGUGGGGAUAGCUCAGUUGGUUAGAGCACUGGUUUGUGGUACCAGGGGGCGUGGGUUCAAAUCCCAUUAUCCACCC
rnacentral:tRNA from 1 species